rnacentral:siRNA from 1 species
AUGGAUGAAAUGACAUGGUGUAC